CCCUUAGAUGUUCUGGGCCGCACGCGCGCUACACUGAUGCAUUCAACGAGUCUAAAACCUGCUCUGAUAGGGGUGGGUAAUCUUUUGAAUGUGCAUCGUGAUUGGGAUAGAUGAUUGCAAUUUUUCAUCUUCAACGAGGAAUGCCUAGUAAACGCAAGUCAUCAGCUUGCAUUGAUUACGUCCCUGCCCUUUGUACACACCGCCCGUCGCUCCUACCGAUUGAAUGAUCCGAUGAAUAUCAUGGAUUGAGGAUGCAAGCAGGUUCGCCUGUCUUCAUCUUCGAGAAGUGAAGUAAAUCUUAUCAUUUAGAGGAAGGAGGAGUCGUAACA
rnacentral:rRNA from 1 species